CAGUGCCAUCCCUUGCUGGCAGCAGCAGGGAUGGAGCUGGGGAAGCUGGAGCAGAGGCUGUCACUGAAACCCUGGAGGCUGGCUCGUUCCUGCCUCAAUUAUGGCAGCAGGCACUUCACAUGUGUGUCUGCUGGCAGCUCGUGUGCAAAACAAAGGCAUGGAUCCUCGGGGAUUGUCUUGUAGACGUGGUUUUGCCUUAAGAAAUAUUGCAGAGUAACAGCAUGGCCGGGCUGGCGUGAGCGUGCCAAGGAUGGAGUGCAGGAGGGUGGGUGUGCAGGAGGGUGGGUGUGCAGGAGGGUGGUUGGUGUGCAGGAGGGUGGUUGGUGUGCAGGAUGGCUGGUUGGGUGUGCAGGAGGAUGGUUGGGUGUGCAGGAGGGUGGUUGGGUGUGCAGGAGGGUGGUUGGGUGUGCAGGAGGGUGGUUGGGUGUGCAGGAGGGUGGUUGGGUGUGCAGGAGGGUGGUUGGGUGUGCAGGAGGGUGGUUGGGUGUGCAGGAGGGUGGUUGGGUGUGCAGGAGGGUGGUUGGGUGUGCAGGAGGGUGGUUGGGUGUGCAGGAGGGUGGUUGGGUGUGCAGGAGGGUGGUUGGGUGUGCAGGAGGGUGGUUGGGUGUGCAGGAGGGUGGUUGGGUGUGCAGGAGGGUGGUUGGGUGUGCAGGAGGGUGGUUGGGUGUGCAGGAGGGUGGUUGGGUGUGCAGGAGGGUGGUUGGGUGUGCAGGAGGGUGGUUGGGUGUGCAGGAGGGUGGUUGGGUGUGCAGGAGGGUGGUUGGGUGUGCAGGAGGGUGGUUGGGUGUGCAGGAGGGUGGUUGGGUGUGCAGGAGGGUGGUUGGGUGUGCAGGAGGGUGGUUGGGUGUGCAGGAGGGUGGUUGGGUGUGCAGGAGGGUGGUUGGGUGUGCAGGAGGGUGGUUGGGUGUGCUAGAGGGUGGUUGGUGUGCAGGAUGGCUGGUUAGGUGUGCAAGAGGGUGUUUGGAUGCAGGAGGCUCAGAGGGCACAUGGCGAUGCGGGAGAAGAAAGAUCUUGAGGAGCUUUGGGCUUUUUGAGGGUAGCUGAGCAGUCUGGGCACCGUGGUGCUCAGUUUCUGUUUGGGGAUGCAGAGAAGUGGGAAUGCCUCACAGGAGCGUGUCUUUGGGAGUGUUUGAAAUUGGACAGAACAGAAGGUUUCAUGGGACAGGUUUAACCCCUGAGCAAGGUGCAAGGAGGUGCAUUGUGCCCCAUGUGAGCUGCUUUUCACCCUUGCAGGGGCUUGGUUGGUAACAGGCUCACUGCCCCCCUUCCCCUCACACUCCACACCCCUUGGGCUUGGCACAAAGGAGCUUUUUUU
rnacentral:lncRNA from 12 species